UACGGAGGGUGCAAGCGUUGCUCGGAAUUAUUGGGCGUAAAGGGUAGGUAGGUGGUCUCAUUUGUCUGGGGUGAAAGCCUUGAGCUUAACUCAAGAAGUGCCCCAGAAACGGUGAGACUAGAGUCCUAGAGAGGGUCGUGGAAUUCCCGGUGUAGCGGUGAAAUGCGUAGAGAUCGGGAGGAACACCAGAGGCGAAGGCGGCGACCUGGAUAGGCACUGACACUCAACUACGAAAGCGUGGGGAGCAAACAGG
rnacentral:rRNA from 1 species